AGAGUUUGAUUCUGGCUCAGAACGAACGCUGGCAGCGUGGAUUAGGCAUGCAAGUCGAACGAGAAUCCGUGGUUUCAAUCUUCGGAGAGAAAUCACGGUGGACAGUGGCGGAAGGGUGAGUAACGCGUGGGUAACCUGCCCCUAAGUUGGGGACAACCCCGGGAAACCGGAGCUAAUACCGAAUGUGGUCCUCUGUCGCAUGGCAGGGUGACUAAAGGUGGGGAUUCUUCGGAACCUGCCGCUUGGGGAGGGGCCCGCGUCCCAUCAGUUUGUUGGUAGGGUAACGGCCUACCAAGGCUUACGGGUAGCUGGUCUGAGAGGACGGUCAGCCACACUGGGACUGAGACACUGCCCAGACUCCUACGGGAGGCUGCAGUCGAGGAUCAUUCGCAAUGCGCGAAAGCGUGACGAUGCGACGCUGCGUGGAGGAUGACGGCCUUCGGGUUGUAAACUCCUGUCAUGAGGGGCAAGCCGGCGGAGGGAUAAUACCCCUACGCCCCGAUGGUACCUCAAGAGGAAGCCACGGCUAACUCUGUGCCAGCAGCCGCGGUAAUACAGAGGUGGCGAGCGUUGUUCGGAUUUACUGGGCGUAAAGAGUGCGUAGGUGGUUCCGUAUGUCGGGUGUGAAAUCCCACGGCUCAACCGUGGAACUGCAACCGAAACUGCGGGGCUGGAGUGCAGGAGGGGAGAGCGGAAUUCUUGGUGUAGCGGUGAAAUGCGUUGAUAUCAAGAAGAACACCGGUGGCGAAGGCGGCUCUCUGGAAUGCUACUGACGCUGAGGCACGAAAGCUGGGGGAGCGAACAGGAUUAGAUACCCUGGUAGUCCCAGCCGUAAACGGUGUGCACUUGGUGUGGGGGGAUUUGACCCCCUCCGUGCCGGAGCUAACGCGUUAAGUGCACCGCCUGGGGAGUACGGUCGCAAGAUUAAAACUCAAAGAAAUUGACGGGGGCCCGCACAAGCGGAGGAGCAUGUGGCUUAAUUCGAUGCAACGCGAAGAACCUUACCAGGGCUUGACAUGUAGCUGCACGCCCGCCGAAAGGUGGGAAGCCUUCGAGGGUGCUACACAGGUGCUGCAUGGCUGUCGUCAGUUCGUGCCGUGAGGUGUUGGGUUAAGUCCCGCAACGAACGCAACCCUUGUGUUUAGUUGCCACCGCAGGUGAUGAGCCUGCGAGCACUCUAAACAGACUGCCCGUACAAGCGGGAGGAAGGUGGGGACGACGUCAAGUCAGUAUGGCCCUUACGCCCUGGGCUGCACACGUGCUACAAUGGCCGGUACAGAAGGAUGCAAGACCGCGAGGUGGAGCAAAUCCUGAAAGCUGGCCCCAGUUCGGAUUGGAGUCUGCAACUCGACUCCAUGAAGUCGGAUUCGCUAGUAACGGCGCAUCAGCUACGGCGCCGUGAAUACGUUCCCGGGCCUUGUACACACCGCCCGUCACAUCAUGAAAGCCGUCUGCACCCGAAGUCGCUGAGCUAACCCGCAAGGGAGGCAGGUGCCGAAGGUGUGGGUGGUGAUUGGGAUGAAGUCGGAACAAGGUA
rnacentral:rRNA from 1 species